CUAUGGGCGCAGACCCUCGGCCUGCCCCGGGGCUCCGUGGUCCCCUGCCCCGGGGCUCCAGGGGAGAGAAGCGCCCUUUCCCCCGGCGCUGCCGCCGCCCGGCCGGGACGCUCCUCCCGGUCAGGCCCCGGUGCCGGCCCACAGCGAGCGUCGCCCCAGCGCGGCCGCCCAGCCGGUGCGGCCCAGGCCCGCCUGCCGCCCCCGCUUAGCCCGGCGGCGGGGCCCGGCCCGGCCCGGCCCGGCCCGGCGGCAGCAUGGAGCGGAGCGGGGGCCGGCGGCGGGAUCCUGGCGAGAGCGUCUCUGAACUAAGGGAAUGGAGACCAGUCCUUUACAGAAAGUGCACAGACAAACUCUGGUUGCUCCUCUUCUUUCUUUUCUGGGCUGGUUUGAUGUUUAUGACUGGCUAUGCUGUGAUGGCUGGUGCUGCAGAAAGACUUGUGCUUGGAUAUGACAGCUUCGGGAACAUAUGUGGUAGGAAGAACACUCCUGUAAAAGGGGCACCCCUUUCUGGACAGGACAUGACUAAUAAGAAGUAUGUGUUCUUUCUGAAUUCAUGCAGCCUGGAAAUGCAAAGCCUCAAAAUCAGUUCAGUUUCCUUGUGCGUGUCUAGUUGUCCACAAGAGCAACUCAACUCUUUGGAAGACCUCCAGAGUUUUGCAAGGAAUAAUGGUUCUUGUCUUUGCCUUUACAACCUGAGCAUUUCCAGUUACACGCUAAAUCCAAAGGCAGCUGAGCUGUGUCCCACACUGCCAGUUCCACCAAGUAAAUCUUUUCCAUUAUUUAAUCGAUGUGUUCCACAAAAUCCUGAAUGCUAUUCCAAAUAUGCAUCUGUUUUAAUAAGUAUGGUUAAUGAAAUGGAUGUUUUUCACCGAAUUCUGAGUGGAAUACUGGCAGGAAGAGAUACUGUGAUAGGACUGAGUGUCCUUGCACUAGCCUUCUCUUUUAUACUGGUUUUAGCCUUCAGAUUCAUUCGGACACUUCUGGUCCAUACUUUGGUUGCACUGGUGGUGUUCGGGUUGCUGUUUGUCUCAGGUGUUCUCUGGUGGCUCUAUUAUGACUACAGGAACGAUCCCAGCACUGAAUUGGAAACAGAAAAGGAAAAUGUAAAAUUUCUACUUGGAUAUGCUAUCUUCUCAACAAUAUUUACCGUUGUUCUGCUUUCCCUUAUACUUGUGCUAAGAAAGAGGCUUCAGUUCACUGUGCAGCUCUUUCAAAUUAUUGGUAAAAACAUUGGCAGAAUUCCUUUCCUCCUGUUCCAACCGAUCUGGACCUUUCUGAUUCUCAUUGUGUUCUGGGUAUUUUGGGUUGCUGUACUACUUAGCUUGGGAACUGCAGGUACUGCGCAGACUACUUCAGGAGGACAAGUAGAAUACAGACCUCUGUCUGGAAUUUGCUACAUGGCAUGGUAUCAUUUCAUUGGCCUUAUCUGGACUAGUGAAUUCAUUCUUGCCUGUCAGCAAAUGACAAUUGCUGGGGCAGUGGUUGCGUGUUACUUCAACAGAAAUAAAAACAGCCCACCACCUCACCCAGUCCUGUCUUCCAUAUCAGUUCUUUUUUGCUAUCAUCUAGGAACUGCUGUAAAAGGCUCCUUUCUAAUCACAUUUCUGAGAAUACCAAGGAUUGUUCUCUUGUACCUUCAUAAUAUCUUAAAACAAAAGGAGAGUGCAUGUGCAAAGUGCCUGUUCAAGUGCUGUUUCUGCUGGUUUUGGUGCCAGGAAAGUUGCUUAAGAUACUUUAACCAGCAUGCAUACACAACUACGGCCAUAAAUGGGACAAAUUUUUGUACUUCAGCAAAGGACGCUCUCUUUAUUUUGGCAAAGAAUUCUGCUAAACUUGAGUCCAUUAGCUGUUUUGGAGAUUUUAUCCUAUUUCUAGGAAAGGUGUUUGUUGUAUGUUUUACUGUUUUUGGAGGAUUGAUGGCAUUUAACUACCAUCGGGAGUUGCAAGCUUGGGUGGUUCCUCUGUUGCUGGUUGGAUAUUUUGCCUACCUGAUGUCUCAGAACUUUCUGUCUGUGUUUGAAGUGACAGCAGAUGCCAUGUUCCUUUGCUUUGCUGUCGAUAUGGAAACAAAUGAUGGAACUGCAGAGAAGCCAUACUUCAUGGAUCGGGAACUGCUGACCUUUAUGAGUCAGACUAACAAGUUAACAGAAGGGCAAAAACACAGAAGCCUGAGACCUUUCCCGGACAACGAGGUUGGGACAGAGCUCCAACCUAUGGAAACCCUGCACUGGUGCAAAAUGGAUGGAUCAAAUUUGUUCUCAUCCUUCUUCCCAUUCCCCAGUGUGCCCAGCAGAGGAGGAGAAAGAUAAUGGCGAGGGGGUGGGAGAUGAAUCCUAUUCAGAUAGUCCUUCACAUGCCUGCUGCAGCAAAGUCAGAAGAGCGCUAGGCUGCUUGAUUUCAUGCCGGAACUGCAGAAGUUCCAGAGCUACUUGAACGCGAAGUGCACCAGGAAGUAUGAAGUCAGACCAGCAACAGCAAAAACAGUCAUAGAAAAAAAGGUUGCCAAUACCCCAGGAGAAAGUACUAGUUCUCUAAAUCUCUGUUGUACCUUCUGCACUGGUAAAAUGACACACAGUCUGUUUGUAUGAAUAAUGUAUUUUGUGUGUCAGCACAUCUGAUUUUUAUUAACAUACUUGUUCUGAUGGUUUGAAAAGUUGUUAAUAAACUCCUUGUACAUUC